AAUAUUGCACAAUGGGGGAAACCCUGACCCAGCAACGCCGCGUGAAGGAAGAAGGCUUUCGGGUUGGAAACUUCUUUGACCAGGGACGAAACAAAUGACGGUACCUGGAAAACAAGCCACGGCUAACUACGUGCCAGCAGCCGCGGUAAUACGUAGGUGGCAAGCGUUGUCCGGAUUUACUGGGUGUAAAGGGCGCGUAGGCGGGACUGCAAGUCAGAUGUGAAAUGCCGGGGCUUAACCCCGGAGCUGCAUUUGAAACUGUAGUUCUUGAGUAUCGGAGAGGCAGGCGGAAUUCCAAGUGUAGCGGUGAAAUGCGUAGAUAUUUGGAGGAACACCAGUGGCGAAGGCGGCCUGCUGGACGACAACUGACGCUGAGGCGCGAAAGCGUGGGGAGCAAACAGG
rnacentral:rRNA from 1 species